rnacentral:lncRNA from 1 species
AGGCGAGGCUGUGGAAGGAAAAGGAAAGGGACGCCUGUGAAAGUCUUUGUUACACACACUGAGGAGGAGAGUGUGCCUGAACAGAGCUUCAGCCCAGGUGAUCGUAAGGAAGCAGCAGAGAAUAAACGGCCCACACUGGAUGGACCUUUCUACAAUACAGAGCCAUCUUCUCAUCAGACCUGCAGCAGCCCAUCAGAGCAGGCUCAGUACAAAGUCUCCACUGGGUCCAAGACCAGAUCCUGCUCAGCUUCUACACCAGCUCCAGCUCCAGCUGCUUCUUCAGCCCCAACUGCAACACCGGUCCUUGCUCCUGCCCCGGCCACUGCGACUUCAGCUCGGGCCCCGUCUCUAACACCCGCGUCCACAGCUCCAGCUGCUCCAACACCCUCUGCUCCGGCCCCAACAGCCAGCUCCUUCCCUCCAUCCCCCAACUGCCGUAUCCGAGAGGUCCACUGUGGGAGCCAGGUGCGGCUGGUUGUUAUUGCCAUCCGAGACAUCACCAAGGGGGAGGAGAUCACUGUGGAUUACAGCCUGACAGAGUGGGGAGAGAACCUGGGUUUUCGUGGUACUGUAUCUCCAGCGCAACACGAGUGCCACUCUGACACUGAGAAUAACAAUAUCAAGAAGGAGGAUGAGCCUCUCUCUCUGACAGCCCAGCAACAGGAGUAUGUCACUCCCUCUUGGUCGCUGUCUCCCUCUUCCUCACCCAUCUCCCACUCUGACGGCAGUGAGUCAGACGGUGGGGAUGAAGACAACGCCAGCCCUCGCGGACGGGCACCACGCCGGCGUAAGAAACGUCGUGGCACCCCUUCAAAGAAAAAGAUUCCCCAUCGAACUCCACCUGGUCGACCACCGUCAGUCUCCCCGACCAAUGCUCCACAUCAUAUCCGCCCGCUUCCUUCGCCCCACGCUGCAGCGCAGGACACUCCUCCUUGCUCAUCUUCCUCCUCCUCUUCAACCAAGCCUGUGUUUAAAGCCCCGGCUCCACUGGGCUCCAACAGCACAAGCAACGGCAAUGCAAAUGGACCUCGAG